UCAGUAUUCGCGCCACUCUUUUGUUCAUUCCUGACCUGGUGGCGAAGAAGAGAGAUACUGGAGCUGUUUGUUGGAACUUGAAAACUACGUUUUCGUGGAUGGAUCAAUAAAACAGUCGAGCGUGGUCGGCACUUUGAAUUUCCCGCCAUUUAAAUUUCCGUGUGAAACGUAGUAAGGCCGUUCAGCAGUUGUGGAUUUGUAUAGGUUUGAAUGUAUUGUGUUGUAAAAUACUCUCAAGCGAAGAACUUGAUUUGUUUGGUCCACUUUGAUGUACACAGUACCACCACUUUCAUUUCAUGCAAUUGAUCUGCUUGGUCCACUUUGAUUUGAGCAAUUUCACCUUGAAUUCAGUAUCGUCACUUUCAUUUCAUGCAAUUGAUCUGCUUGGUCCACUUUGAUUUGAGCAAUUUCACAUUGAAUUCAGGUAAUUGGUUUGUUUAUUAUAAUCUGAUACAAGUAAAGUCAAGUAACCGAUUUUCUUUAUUA